ensembl:lncRNA LINC00460 long intergenic non-protein coding RNA 460
GACUCAGAGGGAUGAACGCCAGAUCCUGACUCACCGGUAACCACUUCCUGCAGAAAUCCUCCAGCCCUGUUAGAAAUGCCUCAGCCAGGGGGACUCAUCUCCUCAAACCUGGGGGACCGAGACCUAUGAGAGGUCACAGCAUGAGCCAGGACAUCGGAGGUACCCAGACAUUGUUAUGAAACUCCGCAUGUGCCCCUGGUGGACGCUGCUGGACCCAGCAUGCACACUUCUCGGCUAAGAGUCACCCUGGAUGAACCACCAUUGCCAGCGGGGAGCAUGUUGCAGCUUUCCCACGCAGUGGAUGAGAACGAAGGUUACGACCAUUGUGUGGGAGGCGUCUGUGUAGCAAUUGCUGGAAUCACUUGUGGCAUUGUAGAAAGACUGAGCGUGGGAAAGAAGACGCAUUCUGAAGUCACCCCGAUUUAUGUUAAAUUAUCACCUUGACUACUGCUAUAGAACGAAUGUUUAUGUCCCCCACCCAAAUUCGUAUGCUAAGACCUAAUAGCCAAUAAGAUAGUAUUAAUAGAUGGGGCCUUUGGGAGGUGAGUGGCUCAUGAGGGCAGAGUCCUCAAAACCAGAUAAGUGCCCGAAUAAAAGGGGCCCCAGAGAGAUCCCUUGCACCGUCUACCAUGUGAAGUGUAGAACACAGCGAGAAGGCCACCUAUGAGCCAGAACGUGGGCCCUCACCAGAACCCAGUUGUGCUGGCACCCUGAUCCUGGACUUCCAGCCUCCAAAAUGACGACAAAGAAGUUUGUUUUUCCUGAGCCAUCCACUUCAAAGUAUUCUGUCAUAGCUCCCCAAAUAGACUAAGACAUCUACUUAACCUUGGUCAAACGUUUAACCUUGGAGUCCACGCCUCUGAAAUGGUGACAAUAACACUGUGUAUUUCCUACUUUAUGAUCAGGAUUAAUAAAUGUAAUUUAUUAAUCAGAAAUUAGUAAUUUCUGAUUAUUAAUUCUAUGGUGCUUGAUACUUGAUUGAGGCUUAUUUAAUAUUUGGAUCUCUUUUAAUUUUUUUCUUUUUUGCUCUUUCUUUCUGCUUUUCCUCUUCCCCUUUUCCUAUUGAAAUAGAAUGCAGAGGAUAAAGCAAGCAAACAAAAAAACUUCCAGAAGAAUCACAGAGUUUUAGACCUAGAAAAAAACUGAAAAAUCAUCCAUUCCACUCUCCUCAUUUUACAGAUGAGGGCAUCGAGCCUCAGAGAAAUGAAACUUGCCCAAGACCACACAGCAAGUGAGUGGGGGACUCAUGACCCAAGACACUUUUUCCAGGCUUCCUUCUACCACAUCAUGCUGCAGAAAACACAGCAGAUGGGAAGAGACGAGGCAUGUGGUUGCCAUUUCUGUAUUACAUCCAAUUCAUAUUUCAUUUAGAAAAUGUAUUUCUAGAACUUGUUAAAAAACCUGAAUGAUUUUGAUUGAAGUUUUUCAAAACUAGGAUUACUAUGCUUCUAAUGGAGAUCAAGUUCAAAUUUUUAACAUAUUUUGCCUUAUUUUGCCACUCCCCUCAAAAUAUCCAUAGUAUUGAAUGCCCAGGUUUCCUGUUUGGAAAAGCCCGAGGAUCUGUGCACACUCUGGGCUACUCUUGCCCAGCUCCUGACUGAGGCACUGGACCUGGCCCGAUGCUGCUCUCUGCUGCUGCCCAGCUCUUCUGCUCCACCGGCAACACUGUACCCAGUUAAUCAUUAGGGCCCUUGUCUCUGUACAAUUGCUCUGUACAACUCGAUAAAAUAAUCCAUGCUAACAAAA